AUAUUGGUCAAGUAAAACUAAACGCGUUAUAGUAAAGAUGAAAAAUUUUCCGAUUUUGAUAUAUUUUUUUAUUGCAAUCCUUAUUUGCGUUCACUUUGUUACUGCUUGUUCGGGAAAAAAUGAAGUAAAAAAGGUUCAGGAUCAACGAAGGAACAAUGCUGAAACAACAUUGUCCCCAAAAAUAAAAGAAAUCAUGUCACAGCUUAAAAACAGCAGUUUGCUAAAGAAGAAAGCAAAUUAUAAAUUGAUUCUGAAGGAGUUGAAACACAUUUUUCAUAACGAAGAAACAACUGUGUGCGCGAGAUGUAAACUAUAAAAUUUA